UUUAAUUACCUUGCCAACUUUGUGCUUUCUACAAACGGCAGUUUUUGACCUUUUCCUUCGCGCUCUCUUUCUCUCUCAUCGAUACGCGCCUCUUGGUCUCUUUGGUUUGGAAGCUGUGAGCUAUUUUUCUAGGUCUGCAACUCCUGCAUUUUGACAAUAAUAUUUGGAAGAUGCUCUGUUCCGCUUGGGUUUGUCUUUCCGGCUUCUCUUUUCUGCUAUCUUUCUGCUCGCUGGCUGACAAGUGAGUACUCCGCGCCUUGUCUUUUAUCUCCUCAUUUAGAUUUGUGUCUGCAUUAAUGGAUUGCAGUGGCCUCGACAGCUUUUAUUUGCUACCCAAGAGUGGUAUGUGAACUAAUUUGAACUAAUUUAUUUUUACGGCUCUAUUUGAAGUUGUACCAAAUUUUUUCUUCCCCCAUCUGCUUACGACAUAAUCUAUAAUCGGGAAAACCUAGGAAACUACAACUAGCUUUAGUUGAAAAGCAGGAAAGAACUUAAAGCAAAUUGAUGGUUCAUGAGUUUUCCAACUGUGAGAAGGAACCUCUGUAUGUGAGAAUGAAUAUAACAUCAAGAUAAUGAAUUUUGGAAAAAUUCUUUAUUUUGUGAGACAGGUCAGCAAAAUUUCUGGGAUUGUUCUUUGAGAAGUAUAGAACUUAUUCCAUUACAUCCUGCACACAAAUGCACAACUUUCAAAUGGAGUCCAGGAUUUUUGAAAUUAGCAACUACGUUAGAGACCUGUUGAGGAUUUUAAGAUGAAAAAGUCUUAAAAAGAGGGUGAAUUGAAAAUGGAGGGAAAAUGAAAUUUUUGAGUAAAAUUUUAAGUUUUCCUCUCUUGAAACAUUGUCCCAUAUUGGAAGAGGAAAAGACUUUUGGUGGGUAUAUAUAUAAUUGCUCUUCUUGUAGCUCUUAAAGAGUUAAGAAGAAGGCAAGCUUCGCGCCGUCAUCGUCGCUCGCUCCGCUACGGCUUCGGCUUCGGCUUUAGAUUUGGUCAAAUGAUCAAUUGAUUGAUUAAUUUUUUGGACCAAAUUUAUUUGUUAAUAGUGAAUAUUAACAUAAUAUUAUCCGUGUUUGUAACGGAUGUUUUCCAAUCCAAGUGUCCCAAGUGCAUGCUCCAUUGUCCAUUGGCAGCCUAGUGCUCCUUCCACCAUGUCAAGUGCUUCCUCCAUAACAGCCUAGUGAUUGUUCCACCAUUAGUGGUGGUUGGUCAUUCUCUUAAUAGCUGACUGCACUAUAAAUAUGUGCAGCAGCUGUUAGAGCAGAGACACCGAAAAACACAGGCAGAAACAAAUUUGAGAGCUUGGCUAUCGUUGAUAUCCUCUUCAGUAAGAACUCAACAGCGGCUAUACAUUGCAGUCCUUCCACUCAGAAUUUCCAUUCGACUUCUGAGUUCUCCUCCCUUGUUCUGCAUUGUUUUAAACUACAAACAAAGCAACCGUAAGUGUGAUUUGCUGCCGAACUUUGUGUUCGCUGAAACACUGGGGUGUGUAAUUCAUUCUAUCCUGGAAUGAAAUAAUCCAUAACCUUGGGUACUAGGAGGGGAUUAAAUUCCUUAAAGAAACACUGUGAAUUCAGUGGGUUCGAAUUAAUUACUGUUUCAUUUAUAUUUACGUUUAUACGCUAACGUUCUUUUCUACAGAAUUAUUAUUUACAAAUACAGCAAGUAAGAAGAUAUGAACCAACAAGAACACCCUCAUAUAACCACAAAUAUCACCCUUUAAGAGAAAUUCUUACAUUUUACGCAUUUAUAAAGCAUCGUGUAAUUCUGUUCAUAUGUAUAGCUAAAGUUGCGGUAUUUGACUGAUAUGUAGAGUAUAAAAGAUUGAUAUUGUAAUCUUUCUUAUUCCUUCUCUCAUCUUAUGUUGGAUCAAUGUAAGAACUCAAAUAUUUGAGCGAUCCAAGUAUCCAACUUUCGUGGGUGAGACAACCCUUUGAAUUAUAAGGUAGACAACAAUAUAUUUAUCAAUAAUGAAACAAUUAAUAAAAACGACCUCAAGAAGCAUUGUUGUAAAGUGAAAAGUAGGGCAAGGUACUACAACAGUUUGUAGGAAGUGUUGGGGCAAGUGUGGGGUAUGGGUUUCCGGGAACCAAUAACUUCUAUCUACCACAAUUGGUUUUCAAUGCUAGCUAUGACAAAGAAUUUUGCAAAACUCCGUAACAAAUGGUCUUUUUUUAAACCUUGAAAGGUUUUUAGGUGAAAAUUGGAGAAUUACAUGUUUUUUGAUCCGUUAAUCGAACCAUAUCAUAAACCACUGGAAUAACCCAGUAGCAUACAAUAAUGAUAUUGUUUCUUGCUUGUACCAUUAAAUUUGAGACAAUAACGUUGCAUUUUCUGCAGAAAAUAAUUUCUAUCGAAUGUGUUCUUUCACACUAAUUUCGAAAACUCUUUUUUUUUUGCGUUUUAAGAUUGUGCGGUUGAGUUUAUGUGGUUAUGGUGUUGUCUUAAAAGAAGGGUCGUUUUCAGAAGUAUAUAUACGCCCUUAAUUUGCUUUAUUACCCCCGUUAUUAUAGCCCAUUUCUGUAAAUUUAUUUUGUCCAGGGCGGUGGCUGACACUACUUUGAUUACUUUGCGUUCUUACUCGUCUCCCAUGGCUAAUAGGUAAAUAUCGAUGAGAACAAGAACAUAUAGAUAAGAUGUUCUGCAUGUUGCCACCCUCAAAGUCUCUACCAAUAAACGACAUCGUUGGAGGCAUUCUUUCUGUUUGCAACAUUGACUCAUGAAUGAGGAAUCUCAAUAGGUAGCUCUUUGGUCAUGUUGUUAUUUUUGAGUUUCUUUCUUGGUGAUCCUAAUUGUUGUUUUAUGUAUUUGAUGUUGUUGUCUAGGUUAUAACUUUUAGCUAAUGGCUGCAGUUGAGUUACUUUAAUAGGAUGGUUUUCCUGAUUUAAUAGGUGUGACCUUAGUCAAUUGCUAAACUACUUAUGAGCUAACUAAAAUUGUAGUCUAUAAUUCAGGUUCUUCGUAUUUUGUUCUUGAACACAAAAAGGAGAAAGAACAUUAUUUCGUGGAUUCUUUCCAUCACUGCUGAAUCCUCGAUUUUAUUCUCAAAAAAGUCUUUCCUAUUUUGUAGUAUUUUUUAAUUUGGUAUUUGUGUUCUUUAUAAGUUCUUGUGCAUAUGUUAUCCGCCGUCUGAGUCUAGAGGCUUUUUUAAGCUACUGGAAUCACUUAGUCAAAAUUCUGUUGAUGGAGAUGGUCAAUUCCCUAAAAAAAAGGGUACAUGUGUCUUACAUAUAUUGUAUUUUUGCACGGGGGCACCCAUGUUUUCUACUAGGAAAACUGCAAAAAUGCAAUUUUUUCGAAUAAUAUUUAAUCUACUUGAUUUAAAAAAUGUCAGUUAAUGUGUGUUUUUAAUGUGAUUUGUGAUUCUAAUAUAUCAAUGGAUAUUACUCUAUGGUGUUAUGUCAGUAUGUUGUGAUUCUUUAGGGUUGGUUCCAAUUGUUGAUAAGAGAUUUUUAUCUAAUGUUAAAUAGUUAUUGGAUUCUGAUUAUUAGUAGAUAUUUGGGGUCACAUUGUGUCAAACGGUGUAUGUAUGUAUACAUAAUAUGCAAUUACAGAAUACCUAUACAAACAUUAUAAAUGACACUGUAACACAAAUAGAUCUAUAUCUUGAUGGUUAAGCGCCUAUUAUUCAGAGUUUAGUCUAGAGUUCAAACCUUGGUCAUGAAUUGCACUUUUUUUUAAAUUUAAAAAAAAGAAAGAAAUUUGGUCAAAAUAAAAUUUUUAAUCUCUGCCAAAUGUAGGUUGUUUACAAACUAGCUCUAUUUGACUCUAGAUACUAGCUCUCAAAAAUAGCCUCUGAACAACAACUGAAAAAAUAACCUAGUGCGCACCUCAGUCUUUUACCCGUGUGCUGAAAUAUACAGGUUGUGAGAGUGAGGCUUGAACCACAACUCCUUACCAAGUGAGGAUAAUACAAAGCAUGUCAACUUUCUUAUAAAAAAAUACAAAGCAAUCAACUUACGAUUCAUUUCCAUAAUAAACUUCUUUUUCUUUUUUUAUUUGCAUAACUUAGACAAUUAAUUUGUUGAUAGUUGAUACUUUAUACAACCUUAAACAAUAUUAUUCAAGCAAACUUAAAUUGGAACAUUAUAUUUUUUUUUAAUCGGAUGUCCUCGAGGGACAAGCAAACUUAAAAUGUAUAUAGCAAUUUUGUUCAUUUGUUCACUUCUUGAAAUAUUGACAUUACUUACAGAACAUCCUACAUACUCCUUUGUAGAUAUUAUACUCUAUGGUGUAGUAUUAGGAGUGAAUGAUAUAGUACGAUUCCCCGUAUGUAUUGAUUCUGUAAAGCUGGCUUUGGUUGUUGAUCCAACGUUGAACAAUUAAAUGUGUGCUUAGAACUUGUUUUAAGGUGAGAAUAUCCUUAGAACUUAUAGGAUAAAAGUUUGCAGAGUCGAUGGUUGAUUUAUGAGCUUAUGGAGAUUGUUGUUUUCCCACUAAUACUUUUUCCUUUAUAAAGAGGCGUUAAACAGAAUAACAAAAUGAAGGGGUUUUUUCUUUAUUGUCUUAUUAUGAAUAUGUUGUUGGGUUCUUAUUUAUCAAAAAUAUGUUCUUAGGUUCUGACAUUGAGACGACAGAACAUCACAUAAAUAUUGGUGAGGAGUUAACUACGAAACUUAGUCUACAUUCAGUUCCUCUGGUUUUUGUCUUGAAAAUGAUUGACAAAAUUCAAGUUUGCAUUUCAACUGUGUUAUUUAAUUUGUAAAUGGUAAUGAACACAAGGAUUUUUAAAAUUCCUCAUAGUUUUAUUUAGUUGUUGUUUGUUGUGUGUUUCGUCUAUUUGUCGUGUCCAGCUACUCAUAAUUGGAAACUGGCGACUAAGGGUGCCAGCUGAGCUACAAGCUUAGUUUCUUUUUUAUUUUUUAAUCAGGGGAAUUUGCAGUACUUUAUAUCCACCAUUAUAUUGACCAUUUUAGUUAUUCAUCAGUUUGCAUAAGAAAAGAAAGAGUAGAUUUGGCGUUCCCCAGUAAUAUAUGCGCCUACCAUUUUUAUGGCUUGCGACUUAGUUAUGGGCCUGUGUUUGGCAAACACCUACAUUGCUUCUUGUGCAACUAUUUGACCCGCUAACUUCGUGGAGUUUUUGAGGUUUCUAGCACUACUUUUUACGACAUGGUGAUUUAAUGGAGCAAUCGAAGAGGUAGUAACAUUAUUCUUCGUAACUGUGAUCCUUAUAAUGAUUCAUUUUAUUCUUUUCAUUGAACUUCAAAAAUCAGUCUACUCUUGGAUGAUAACUUUAAUUAACAACUACAGAUCUGAAUAUUGAAACAAAGAUAAUUUCCCGAGCAUCUGUCUUUCAUUUUUUCAGUGCAAAGCUUGAUGUUUAGGGACAUGCUUGAGUGUCGGCUUUGCUUUUGUAGGAAGCAAAAAAGUGUUUGAAUUUUCCAACCUGAAUUUCUGUCUAUAACCUGUAGUUAUUUAUGUUGAGAAACACCUAUUGAUUAUUAGCUAAGUAAGGAGUUAGAAAGAACCCGAUGACAUUUUUAUAUCCAAGAAGCUCUAUCAUCCAAAAUGUAACUGCCAGAAAAGUUUGUCUGAGAAAAAACUACCAAAUAUGUUUUAAUAUAUGCAUUUAUCUCAAUUUAAAAAAUUUCCUCCAACCGAUGCACAUUGAUCUAAAAUAUUGAUCUCUUAUUCUAGAAUUGUUGGAUGGCUCUACAGUGACAUUGAUUUAACGCUACUUUGACCUUAUGGAAAUGUACAUUCUUUACGUAUAUUUUUAUUUCUGUUUUGGCCUCCUUCCUAUUGGUGUGGGAGACAGAUUUAUCACAGGUGGAAGCUUUUCCAGGUUUGAUGGUAAAUAGUACUACCAUAUUGAAACUUGUGAAUCACUGCUAUAGCAAGAUGAAUUCAGUAAUAGAUGUUCAAUCAUUUGACAUUUAGGACUAUCUUGUUGCAAAAAUUAUUUUUAUGUUACUUUUUUGGCAGUUAACUUUCCUAAUGGGUGAUUACGUCUUAAGCAAAUAGAGUUCAAUUAGUUUAAUUUGAUUGAACAAGUUGUGUUUCACUAUUUUGUGAGUGGUGUUUUGCAUCAACAUAAAAGGGGUAGGAUGGAAGCAUACCUCGCUGAAGGACGUUUAGUAGAAGGAUUACACUAAACGUAAUAUCUACGUCAAAAGUAUUACUUGACUCUCUUAUGCCUUGUGCAGAUAAAUUACGUUCUCCCUCUUCUUCCCUGAGGUCUCUUUAAAAUUAAAAAAUGUCAAUAUUUACUCUAUGAAGGUCCAUGUCUUGUUAAAAGUUGGAGUGUAGUUUGUUUGAGUUGUAAAGUUUAAAUCUUCUUUGGUUCUCUUCUACAAGAAUUAGUUCUAUGGUGUGUGUAAUGUUAGAUAUAAGGGGGCUCUUAAUAGUCUUGUCCAUGAACCAUGUAUUUUUCUGUUUGCAGGAGACCCAGAGCACCAGUAGAGCAGUAGGAAAUUCAUUUAAAAUGAAAAGUAAAAAAAAAUUGUGUAACAUAUGUAUAACAUGAAGGACAAGGAAAAUCAAAUGGAACCUUUGGGUCUAUUGUCAUAUAUUAACCUAUAAGGUUCAAGCCAUAAAGAUGGAUUUUUUUAAUGGAAAGGAAGUGUACAUUUAUAAAGUGCUUCUGAUGAUUGUUACUUCAAGUAAUUUUUUAGUUUGUACAUUUAUAUUUG
rnacentral:lncRNA from 1 species